AUUGAACGCUGGCGGCAGGCCUAACACAUGCAAGUCGAACGGUAACAGGAAGAAGCUUGCUUCUUUGCUGACGAGUGGCGGACGGGUGAGUAAUGUCUGGGAAACUGCCUGAUGGAGGGGGAUAACUACUGGAAACGGUAGCUAAUACCGCAUAACGUCGCAAGACCAAAGAGGGGGACCUUCGGGCCUCUUGCCAUCGGAUGUGCCCAGAUGGGAUUAGCUAGUAGGUGGGGUAACGGCUCACCUAGGCGACGAUCCCUAGCUGGUCUGAGAGGAUGACCAGCCACACUGGCACUGAGACACGGUCCAGACUCCUACGGGAGGCAGCAGUGGGGAAUAUUGCACAAUGGGCGCAAGCCUGAUGCAGCCAUGCCGCGUGUAUGAAGAAGGCCUUCGGGUUGUAAAGUACUUUCAGCGGGGAGGAAGGGAGUAAAGUUAAUACCUUUGCUCAUUGACGUUACCCGCAGAAGAAGCACCGGCUAACUCCGUG
rnacentral:rRNA from 1 species